AGGAAUUUAGGUUAACACAGACCAAGAGCCUUCAAAGCUCUAAUGAAUGACAAAUGACUUGACUCCUG
rnacentral:tRNA from 1 species